rnacentral:rRNA from 1 species
GCGACCCCAGGUCAGUCGGGAUUACCCGC